rnacentral:rRNA from 1 species
GACGAACGCUGGCGGCGUGCUUAACACAUGCAAGUCGAACGGUGAAGCGCCUUCCUUUUUGGUGGGUGGGGAUGAGUGGCGAACGGGUGAGUAACACGAGAGUAACCUUCCCCCUUCUUCUGGAUAACCGCAUGAAAGUGUUGCUAAUACGGGAUAUUCUGGGUCUGUUGCAUGAUUGGUCUGGGAAAGUUAUGGUGUCGGUGGGGGAUGGGUUCGCGGCCUAUCAGCUUGUUGGUGGGGUGAUGGCCUACCAAGGCGCUGACGGGUAGCCGGCCUGAGAGGAUGGGCGACAACGGUAGGGAGACACCGCGGAGAAGACUACUGGGGGAGGCAGUAGGGAGUAUUAUUGCAUGAUCGGAACACGGAUGAAGCAGCGCCGCCGGGUGGAGGAUGGACUCCUGCGGGUAGUGCACCUCUUUCGGGAGUGAAGCAGGCCUGCCUCAUUUGUGCGUGGGUUGACGGUAGCUGGAUAAGAAGCGCCGGCUAACUACGUG